UAAUAACAUAAGAAGAAGAGGAGGAGGAGAAGACGGACGAUGCGAGCAGACAGCAGCGUGUCUCACGUUAAACUAUAUAUAUAUAUAUAUAUAUAUUUCUUGAGCGUCAAAAACUCCUCAUUUGCCGUCCAACUAUUGAGAUAGUGGAGGAGAGAGAGAGCUAAAAUAUUCGUUUACAAUUUGAAGCAGCAGUCAUAGAUUGAGCUGUAGUUGUUGUAGUAGUGGAAAGGAAAGUACAGCUGAAAUCAGCUGAAAAAUCCUAGCAGUUUGCUCCAUCAAGUUUUGUUUGUUGUUUGAUGACACAUAGUCUCUCAUUCACUCACAGACUCUGUAAACGUUUACAUCGGCUGCUGGAUCCUACCGUUACAGUCGACUGAACUCUUGUUGUAUUUUGAGCCCGUGGGAAUUAUAAACCCAAAGUAAGGGGUGUGGAAAAACAAACCUUUUUGUCACAUAAUCGCGAGAAUAUACAUUAAAUAAUAACAACAAUAUUAACAAAAAAUAUUACAAAAAAAGGAGAAUUUCUAUAAUUGACUGACAGUUUCCGUAGAUGAUGUGACAAGAUUGUCUUCCUAUGUCACAGCAAAGGUAAUUGAACCAGAUGUUGUUU